rnacentral:lncRNA from 1 species
AAACAUGAAGUUUAGGAUGUUUAAAUACCCUUCCCCCAAAAGUCGCGUAACUUUAGACAUGUGGAAAUGAAUUUGAACCCACCUUUGCCUUACUUCAGAGCCUCAGUACUUAUCUCUGGUGCAAAAAUGAGUUCAAAGAUUAAUUUCCAACACAACUCGGUCCAUCCUUCCAAAUGCUAUUAAAUUGACAAAUAUAUUAAGAAAUGCUACAUUUUAGAUCCAGUUAUUUCUUCCCUCAUUUUGCAAAGAUAUCCACUUUGUGCCUUUAGCCAUAAAUCAUUAGAAGCCACAGUCCAUCUUUCACAGAAAGAAAACAAUAAAACACUUGAGAGAGUUUAUGGAAUUCAGAUAUUGGAAAAUUUUGCAAUUACACCAUUGUGUUACCUUGGUUUUUUCAGUAACCAUCCAGGAGGCCAAUUUUGCUUCAGUGAUUGGGGUCACCACCUAGGGCUGGCUGGUUCCCUCCCUCUUUUUCUACCUUCCUGAGACUAACUCUUCAAUAGUCAGAAAUAAUUUAGUGUUGAUUUUCUUAUAGUUGUCAUUUAUAAAUACUAUUAAUAAUUCAUCUUUAGCAUUUUUACUCUCUAAUAUUUAAUGGUUAUAUCCUGAGUUCUUUAAAAUUAAAUCCUGCAUGCAGGGAUAUAAGUAAUUUUAAAGAUACAUUUUUAUAUAUCAUUUGUCAUAAUUUAUAGACCACUUAUAUUUUAUUUCUAAUUAAAUAUGAACUUCACAUAUUUAUGCACACUUUUGCUGAGUUUAUCUUUGGUUUUUGUCAUUAUUUCAGUGUCCAAAUGUGAGCUCUAUAGUAUUACCUGAAAUAAGAGAAAGGUAGUUUAACUUUUUGGCAUGUUCAUAAUAUUCUGUUUUAUAUAUAUAUAUUUGGUGCCAGUAAUACAGUAGCUGAUCAGCAGAAACUAAAGUUGGUAUUUGUUACUCUUAGGAAUUAUUCUAUUUAAAGUUAUUACCAUUUGGGUCUUAACAUAUUCUAUCAGACAUAAGUUAGGGAUAUCUGUGGUUAUUAAAUCUACAAUAUUAAAGAAAAAACCAGACAUGACAAUUACCAAAAAAAGCUAUAUAGUAUAAAAAAAACCCACUAAAAUUUGUUGCUUUCUUCUGACAUUUAAGAGAUGGUUUAUGUUCUAUAGUUCUUUAGUUUUAAUCAAGAAACCAAUGCUGGGUUUUUAAUCAAAACUACUAGGCAUGCCUCUAAAGUUAAUAGUAUUUAAUAAUAAUCAGUUGAUGCUGAAUGGUUGAAAAUGUGGAAUAUGGAUCUGAGCACUCAUUUGCCUAAAUGAACCAUGGUUGACACUCAGCCACAUUGUAGUAUUCAUGGUCUUUCCUCAAUAUUCUAAAGUUGAUAUUUCUGGACUCUCUAAAAGAAUUAAGCUGAGACAACUUUCCUAUUGUUUCCAUAUGUAUUACAUGUCUUACCUUGACCCCUUAAUUGUUAAAUAUUUAGUAGGUCAGCCUCACACUCAAUAAGAUACCCAGAUAUUGAUAGCAACAGUGAUGCCUACUCCCAGAUCUGUGAUCAGGUCUAGCUUCCCAUAAUCAUUGUGGGAUGUCCAUUCAGUUCAACUGCAGUGAAGACCUUAGUGUCAGACUCUAUACCAUAUGAGUUUUGAUAUUAUGAAUGUCAAAGAGUUUUGGAAUUAUACACUUGUAUUUAAUCAUCUGUAUUUUUAAUGGCUUUGUGAAAAUUAAUUACUAUUGUACACACUUCUUUUCUCACCUAUAAAAUUGAUGUAAUGAUAUAGAACCAAUGUGAUUGCUAUGAUAACAAUAAAGGAAGUAAUAUAUGUUAAAUAGUGUAACAUCUACCUAUAUCUGUGCUUGGCUUUGCAAGGCUGCGCUCAGCUUCUUCCUUGGAGGCUGUUCCCUCAAGGAAAGGAUGGUUAUCUGUUAACAAAUUAACUGAGGAGUGCAUUAACUUUCUGCAGAAGGAUGAAAGCUUGUGAUCUCAGACACAAAGCUUAUCAGUCUCACUGUCUUGAGAUAUAAGGAAUAAUGAGUGUCAAGCUAAAGAGACAUUUAAAGAAGUAAAUUCAUGAUUGAGAAGUUAAGACAUUGGAAGGUGGUAGCUUGUGAACCUUCAUACUUGUGGAUUCCUCUGAGUCAUCACAUCCUUAUCAAUAGCUAUGUUCUUCAUUAGAAAUAUUCAGAAAAAUUUUAUUGUCUAAAUCCUCUCUUUUAAUUUUACUUUUCUCCAUCUCUAUAUUUCAAAAUAUAGAAAUAAUACGCUGUUAUGUAAUAUGAUUUUGCUAUGGUAACUCAAACUUGGCAUUGUCUUUUCCUCACUACCAGAUGUCUCAGCUGGUCUUUAGUAUCAAACACCUUUCCAAGAGUAUUCAGUAUGCAAUUGUAUCUUCCUAUAUUUAUGAAAUAUUUCAAUGAUUUCAUCCAUUUAGCAUAUUUUUAUUCCAGAUGUAAAUAGCAAAGCUUGAAACAUUUACAUAAAAAAUCAAUUUUUACUUUGGUAGCCUGUGAUUAACUAAUAUAAUAGAGGUUUGUCUAUACUAAGAAAAUAAUCAAUCCAGAGUUAUUUAUCCUUGUAACUAAAAUACCAUAUGAAGUGCAUCUUCUCAGUUUUACUUGAAAUCAGAUUUAUACUAAAAUAUCUUAGUAUGGACAAAGUGUCAAGCAAAAGUAAAUAAUUUGCAGGUUCAUGUACAUGAAUUAUUGCAUAUCACAGAGGUAAAUAUUUAACAUUUAAUUCUGAGGUUUAUUUUUUUUUUAGUAUCUUGUCAAAAUUCUAUUAGCAGGAAAACAUUAAAAAUGUUGAAAUAUGACAGAUAACUCCUACUUUCUUGUAGAUCAAACUUUGUUACUCUAAAGAGGGAACUGACCACUUUAGAAAUUUCCAGACUUUGUGUCUUUUUCUACGUGGUCUGACAUUUUAAGCACAAUGACACCAACAACAAAGUGAACUACCAUUUAAAGGAUACAAUAUGUGUGCUGUUUUAGGACAUCAGGGGUAACUAAUUCAUUUUUCUUUUCCUUAUUUUUAAUUAAGUCAAAAGAAAAAUCAAACAUGUAUACCCCCAAACAAACAAAACUGACACUUGCACUUCAGGACCCAAAUCCCUACUUCAUCUCUUGAAUUCUCUCCCAACAACCCCAAUUUCUUGAAACUACAUUUACCUGUUAACUUUCAUAAAACUGCAUCCCUGAAAUAAUUGAUUCCUGAGAUCGAAAUAAGACACAGUACCUUUUUGAUAUGAAAAAAAUAAAAUGCUCUACUGAAAAUUAUAUUACAUACUGCUGUGAUUAUCUUUAACAUUUAUCUUUUCCCUGUCAUCUAAUCUAAAGUUACCAAUAGAUUUAGACAUAUAAAUUAUUUUAUUCACACCAGGUUCAGAGUUCUUCCUUCAUCUUUACAAGGUAAUACUUUCGAAUUGCUAUCUUACAAGUUUAGACUCUCAGUCCUAAGCAAAUGGGCAUGUUGCUCUUUAUGAAUUUUGUGUCAUACUAAUGAGCAGUCUUGAUAAGGUUUCUUUACACCGCCUCAUCAGUAAUUUUUCUGUAUUUGUAUUUCAAAUAAAAUACAUCUUAGAAAUUGGAAACUCAUAAAGGAACUAUGCAUAGACAAGUAGCACCAAGUGCAUUUACAAAUGCCCAUAUGUUUUAUUCAUGGAAAGGCCACUUGGGCCCUUAGUGUCAACUUGUACUCACUUCAGACAGAGUUGUGAGGAUUAUAUUUAUUUAUUACAAACCAAAGCAAAAACAGAAGUAAAAAUGAAGGUUUCUUGAUAGAAUAGUUCAGGCAUCUCAAU